rnacentral:lncRNA from 1 species
GUACGUAAGAGUUCAUAAAAUACAAAUAUUCCGCGUGGAACACCUCCUUUUGCUUCCUUUAUUUUCACCCUUUGGAUGGGACCUUCAAAUUUAAUUUUGCUUUCUAACCGAUAAAUGCAUAUACAAAUCAUGAUGCAUUUUUUAUGUGUACUUUAAGGGCCCUUGAUUGGAACAAUAUUCUUCUUUUUUUCUAUCAUAGAAAUUACAAUAAAACUUUCCAACAGGCUGUGUCUACUUAACGUUAACAUUAAUUGGUACUCGUUUCCCCUGAUACAUGUUAGACUGAGUCCUUUCGCCUGUAGAGUCUGUUCAUCAGAAGUUCACAAAACUGUCAACGUUGCUAUUACAAAAGGAGUGAUUACAUUAAUUCAAAAUCCAUGACCCAAAAUUUUUUACAAAUGUAGUUUAUGUCAUAAAACAUGAAGAAACAAAUUUGGGAAGGGUAUAAAAAUAUAGCAAGUAACACACUGUUCACACUAGCAAUAUUGACUAAGGUGAUCAGACACCACUCUUCAUAUGUUGUCUUAGGUUAACUCUGCUCACCUUGAACACAUAUUGACAAUGUUUACCUCUGGUCCAGUUACAAUGAUUCUUUGAUCAAAUAACACACUCAUUUAUGUUGGUAACCUCUGGUCACCUCGUACAUAUAUUCAUUAUGUUGACCUCUGGUCACCUUACUAUAAUGCUCACAUAACACAAUCGUUCACUUUGGUUACUUCUGGUCACCAAACACAUUCAUUGACGUUUUUUACCUCUGGUCGCCCUAAACCGCUAUUCAUAUAUUAACUUCGGUUCAUGUUUGUAGAUAAUAUCAGUCAGUACUUGAGGUACAGUUAAUGUGUACGUCAAAAAAACAAAGCAUUUUCAAAGUUUUAAUGGUUGCAUACAAUUCAGUACUCACGAGCGUUGGAUGUUUGUAGAUCAUAUUGGUCAAUGCUUUAGGUACAGUUCAUGUGUAUGUCAAGAAGGCUGGGGAUUUUGAAAGUUUUAAUGGUUGCAUACAUUAGUACUCACAAGGGUUGUAUGUUUGUAGAUAAUAUCGGUCAGUACUUGAGGUACAGUUUAUGUGUACGUCCACCAGACAUAGCAUUUUAAAAUUUUUAUGGUUGCACAACUUAGUAUUCACUACGAUUGGAUACUUAUAGAUUAUAUUGGUCAGUACUUGAGGUACAGUUAAUGUGUAUGCCAAGAAGACAAAGCAUUUUGAAAGUCUUAAUGGUUGCAUACAUUAGUACUCACAAGGGUUGGGUGUUUGUAGAUUAUAUUGGUCAGUACUUCAAGGUACAGUUAAUGUGUACACCAAGAAGGAACACAAGGAAUAAGAUUAAGGUUAUACUUAUAUCUAUUCAUGUUAUCAUAGUUUUGUAACAGAAAUAAACAGGCCCUUAAAAUUACAUAGAAAAUCUAUUCGUAACACCAAGUUCAAAAGACAAUGAAAGAAGAAGAACAAAGGCUUCAUCAGAACAUGACAUACAAAUUACACUGACUUGGGUCAGACAAAUGGAUUUUUUAAAUAAUAACAGCAACAGAUUCUAUUCCUUUUCAAUUAAAAACUAAGAUUGGUUU